rnacentral:lncRNA from 1 species
GUUCAGGUGGAACGUGGAAGACUCUGAAACUUGGUUGUUUAAUGCAAUGUCUACCCAGUCCUCGUGGGAACGAGAGAAGUGAUACAUGGAAUAAGUUCUAUGAUUUAGCGGGGAACAUUCAAGAACAUCACAAGUUGACUUAAUAUAUGCUUGUUGUUUUCUAACUGGAUUAAUGACUGCAAUUUGGUUGAGGUUGACACUACAUAUGUACUAAGUUCACUUGGAGAGGGCCUAAGUGGAAUGGUCUUUAAAAAAA